ACAUCCGGGUCCUUGAGCUCCGCGCUCCACGCCCGGCUCUGCUGGUUCCAGAGUGGCUGGGUGUUGGUUCUUCCCCCUGUUACGGCGUCGGGAGAGUCAGUGGGUCGGCGGGUUUGAACUUCUUUUCCUAGAAGCUGUGCAUCACCAUAAUGAGGCUUGUAAUUCUUGAUAACUAUGACUUGGCUAGUGAAUGGGCAGCCAAAUACAUCUGUAAUCGCAUCAUUCAGUUCAGACCUGGACAGGACAGAUAUUUUACGCUGGGAUUACCAACAGGGAGUACACCUUUAGGAUGUUAUAAAAAACUAAUAGAAUAUCACAAGAAUGGAGAUCUUUCUUUUAAAUAUGUGAAGACCUUUAACAUGGAUGAAUAUGUAGGACUUCCCAGAAAUCAUCCUGAAAGCUACCAUUCUUACAUGUGGAAUAACUUUUUUAAGCAUAUUGAUAUAGAUCCUAAUAAUGCUCAUAUCCUCGAUGGGAAUGCUACAGAUUUACAAGCAGAAUGUGAAUCAUUUGAAAAGAAAAUAAAGGAAGCUGGAGGAAUUGAUCUUUUUGUUGGAGGGUUUGGUUAAUAAAAACACUAAGAACUGAGCCAAAUGGGAUCAAAAUAUCAGCUUUAUUAAAGGAAUUGGUCCAGAUGGUCAUAUUGCUUUCAAUGAGCCAGGAUCCAGUUUAGUAUCAAGGACAAGAUUAAAGACUCUGGCAAUGGACACUAUUUUGGCAAAUGCUAAAUAUUUUGAUGGAGAUUUAUCAAAAGUGCCAACUAUGGCUCUAACAGUUGGUGUGGGAACUGUGAUGGAUGCUAGAGAAGUAAUGAUCCUUAUAACAGGUGCACACAAAGCAUUUGCUCUCUACAAAGCAAUAGAAGAAGGAGUCAAUCACAUGUGGACUGUUUCAGCUUUCCAGCAGCAUCCCCGAACUAUUUUUGUAUGUGAUGAAGAUGCUACUUUAGAAUUAAGAGUUAAAACUGUGAAAUACUUUAAAGGUUUAAUGCAUGUGCACAAUAAACUUGUGGAUCCACUAUACAGUAUGAAAGAAGGAAAUUGAAGGAGACUGGAUCAAAAUUCUGCUUGAAUGAACAGUAUACUUUCAUAUUAUAGAUGAAUUUUCAGCUAUGCAAUAUGAUAAAAACUUGGGGAAUUUUUGAAUAUUGUCAUUUUUUUUGAAGUCUAAUAUCUAUAUGUUAAACAUUCCAUAUUUAGAAUAUCCAUUUUAUACUAGGGUUGAGAAGUACCUGGCUCUCACAACUGAUCAGCUGUUUGUUACAGAAGCCACAUAAAACAGCACAGAAAUGAAAUGUCUGCCUGUUUACAAAUUUCAAGUAAUUUUAAAGGUGAAGAUUCUCUACAAGUACCAUUCCUAUGACUCAAAUUGGCAUUAUUAGAUUCAAUUUUUUUAAAUACAGAAGACACUCCAAGCCUUUCAGGUAUCAAGCAACUGUCAUUGCAAGGCUUCUGGAAUGCUAUCUUUAUAUUUUCUCUUCAUCACACACAAGCUUUCUGCACGUGGUUGCCUUAGUCAUCUUCCUGCAGUAGCAUCUGGACAUCAAAAGUCCUGCUAUAAAUCGUUGAUAUAGAAAAUAUGAAGAUAUGGCUGUGCCUAACAAUACAGUUUACACCCUUUUGAAAAGUAUGUGUAAGUGCAUGUUUUUGUGCACCUUCUUCUAUAGCACUUUUUUACAAAUGUGCUCUUAUUUUUAUUUAAUGAUUUGGGUUCAUGCACCUCAUAUAAGUAUUUUGGCAAUUAUGAGCUUUAUACCUAGUAACACACUUAAGGAAGAUUUUUUGAAGUAAAUUUUCUGAUUAUUGUUAAACUUCAUAAAUGAUUAGCUUUAUUCCUUACAUAUAAUGUUUAAAAGGAUAAUAUGAUGAAGUAUAAUAUAAAAGGAAUUACUGUAAACUAGAUUGCCAUAACAACUUGCAUCAUUAAAUUGCAAAUAAAAAUAUAUUGUUUUCUAUCUUUUUUUUUCUUCUUAGGGCCACACCCAUGGCAUACAGAGGUUCCCAGGCUAGGGGUUGAACGGGAGCUACAGCUGCCAGCCCACACCACAGCCACAGCAAGGCCAGAUCCGAGCUGUGUCUGCGACCUACAACCACAGCUCAGGGCAAAGCCUUAUCCUUAACCCACUGAGCAAGGCCAGGGAUUGAACCUGCAACCUCAUGGUUCCUAGUCAGAUUUGUUUCCACUGAGCCACAACGGGAACUCCCUUGUUUUCUAUCUUUAACUCAAAUAAAGCUUAUAAUAAGCAAAAGUUACUAAAUUUUAUUUCUAGAAGUGAAAGUGAACACAUGCAUCUGAAAGAUUCUAACAGUUAAUAGUAGCUAUGAGCCUGCCUUUACUUUUUAUUUGCUGUCAUCAUCCAAUUAGAAGACUUAAGUUAAAAGACAAUGUCUCUGCCUAUUAUUUCUUAGUUCUGCUCCUUGGGGAGUAAAAAAAAAAAAUGUUCCUUUUCCUCUGUAUCUUUUGUUUCUUUUAAGUCCAACUAGUAGAAGCAUCACUUAUAUACCUGCUUAACUGCUUAUGUAAUUGAAAUGUGUUUGCAGUUACAUUCCUUAAAAUACUUAAAUAGCAACCAAAUUUAAAAAAUAAUAAAAAUAAGUAAAAGUAAUAGGAUAAAAUAUACUGCUUUAAUUCUAGAUAAUAAAGUUCUAAGAGCCUUAAGUAUUAUAAAUGGUUUUUGAAUAACCAGUGAAAUCAGUAUCAUCUCCCAGUCUUAUAACUGAUAAUAAAGUAUUGAUUAUUGCAGACUACAUUAGAAGGUCACAGUGUCAGUGAAAAAGCUAAACUGUUUUGGUGCACGGUUCAGCUGUUAUUUCUAUGGUUUAAAUGUGCUAGCUGAAACAAAGUCUGAAAGAUCUCGUUUUCUUCACUGUGGAGUCCAUGUUCUCUAGGUCCACACCAAAAUGCUUUCUGGCCACUCUGGCACGCUAACUCAGGAACUAAGCUGUCCUGUUAAGCAAAGAAACAAGCUUACUGAAGAUAUCUCCACAAAAGGAAAGAAAGCACUGUAGCAGAAAGAAACCACUGUUUGAAUCCUACCUGUCAACAGUAGUAAAUUCAAUAAAUGGUGGCUAUUCUAAUAGUUUACAUUAUCUUAAUGUACCCCCAAAUCUUCAUAAUAUAAGGUCCUCUGGGGGACACACAACUUGAAAUCAUGUUCAGAGAGUGGCCAGGGGAGAGAACUUAGGAGUAUGCUGGGAAAAAAAAAAAAAAAA